rnacentral:rRNA from 1 species
CAGGUAGGACUACCCGCUGAACUUAAGCAUAUCAAUAAGCGGAGGAAAAGAAACUAACAAGGAUUCCCCUAGUAACUGCGAGUGAAGCGGGAAGAGCUCAAAUUUAAAAUCUGGCGUGCCUCUGGCCGUCC